rnacentral:rRNA from 1 species
CACUCUAAUGAGACUGCCGGUGACAAACCGGAGGAAGUGGGAUGACGUCAAGUCAGCAUGGCCUUUAUGUCCAGGGCUACACACGUGCUACAAUGGUUGGUACAAAGGGUUGCCAAGCCGUGAGGCGGAGCCAAUCUCAAAAAGCCAACCUCAGUUCGGAUUGCAGUCUGCAACUCGACUGCAUGAAGUUGGAAUCGCUAGUAAUCGCUGAUCAGCAGGCAGCGGUGAAUACGUUCCCGGGCCUU